UCCGAGUUGACCCCGGCAGUCUUCGAUGAGUCCCCGGCAUCACCCGCUGGCAACAUCGAACGAGGGUUGCGCUCGUUGCGGGACUUAACCCAACAUCUCACGACACGAGCUGACGACAGCCAUGCAGCACCUGUCUCUGCGUCCCUUGCGGGAAAACCCCUAUUAGAGGGCGGUCGCAGGAUGUCAAACCCUGGUAAGGUUCUGCGCGUUGCGUCGAAUUAAACCACAUGCUCCACCGCUUGUGCGGGCCCCCGUCAAUUCCUUUGAGUUUCAAUCUUGCGGCCGUACUCCCCAGGCGGAAUGCUUAAUGCGUUAGCUGCGGCACCGGAGGGGUCGAUACCCCCGACACCUAGUGCCCAAUGUUUACGGCGUGGACUAC
rnacentral:misc_RNA from 1 species